rnacentral:rRNA from 1 species
ACAUGCCUACAACAUAGUGUUAAUACACUGGAUCCCAUUAGAACUCURCAGUUAAGCGCGCUCRGGCUAGAGUAGUACUGYRAUGGGUGACCGCCCGGGAAGUCCUAGUAUUUUACAUGCA